GACGAACGCUGGCGGCGUGCUUAACACAUGCAAGUCGAACGGAAAGGCCCUGCUUUUGUGGGGUGCUCGAGUGGCGAACGGGUGAGUAACACGUGAGUAACCUGCCCUUGACUUUGGGAUAACUUCAGGAAACUGGGGCUAAUACCGGAUAGGAGCUCCUGCUGCAUGGUGGGGGUUGGAAAGUUUCGGCGGUUGGGGAUGGACUCGCGGCUUAUCAGCUUGUUGGUGGGGUAGUGGCUUACCAAGGCUUUGACGGGUAGCCGGCCUGAGAGGGUGACCGGCCACAUUGGGACUGAGAUACGGCCCAGACUCCUACGGGAGGCAGCAGGGGGGAAUAAUGCACCAUGGGCGGAAGCCUGAUGCAGCAACGCCGCGUGCGGGAUGACGGCCUUCGGGUUGUAAACCGCUUUCGCCUGUGACGAAGCGUGAGUGACGGUAAUGGGUAAAGAAGCACCGGCUAACUACGUG
rnacentral:rRNA from 1 species